AACGAACGCUGGCGGCAUGCCUAACACAUGCAAGUCGAACGAUACCUUCGGGUCUAGUGGCGCACGGGUGCGUAACGCGUGGGAACCUGCCCUUAGGUUCGGAAUAACUCCCCGAAAGGGGUGCUAAUACCGGAUAAUGUCUUCGGACCAAAGAUUUAUCGCCUUUGGAUGGGCCCGCGUUGGAUUAGCUAGUUGGUAGGGUAAAAGCCUACCAAGGCGACGAUCCAUAGCUGGUCUGGGAGGAUGAUCAGCCACACUGGGACUGUGACACGGCCCAGACUCCUACGGGAGGCAGCAGUGGGGAAUAGUGGACAAUGGGCGAAAGCCUGAGCCAGCAAGGCCGCGUGAGUGAUGAAGGCCUUAGGGUUGUAAAGCUCUUUUACCCGGGAUGAUAAUGACAGUACCGGGAGAAUAAGCGCCGGCUAACUCCGUG
rnacentral:rRNA from 1 species